rnacentral:rRNA from 1 species
GACGAACGCUGGCGGCGUGCUUAACACAUGCAAGUCGAACGAUGAAGCCUAGCUUGCUAGGUGGAUUAGUGGCGAACGGGUGAGUAAUACGUGAGUAACCUACCUUUAACUCUGGGAUAAGCCUGGGAAACUGGGUCUAAUACCGGAUACGACCAAUCUCCGCAUGGGGUGUUGGUGGAAAGCGUUAUGUAGUGGUUAUAGAUGGGCUCACGGCCUAUCAGCUUGUUGGUGAGGUAACGGCUCACCAAGGCGACGACGGGUAGCCGGCCUGAGAGGGUGACCGGCCACACUGGGACUGAGACACGGCCCAGACUCCUACGGGAGGCAGCAGUGGGGAAUAUUGCACAAUGGGCGCAAGCCUGAUGCAGCGACGCCGCGUGAGGGAUGACGGCCUUCGAGUUGUAAACCUCUGUUAGCAGGGAAGAAGAGAGAUUGACGGUACCUGCAGAGAAAGCGCCGGCUAACUACGUGCCAGCAGCCGCGGUAAUACGUAGGGCGCGAGCGUUGUCCGGAAUUAUUGGGCGUAAAGAGCUUGUAGGCGGUUUGUCGCGUCUGCUGUGAAGGCCGGGGCUUAACCCCGUGUAUUGCAGUGGGUACGGGCAGACUAGAGUGCAGUAGGGGAGACUGGAAUUCCUGGUGUAGCGGUGGAAUGCGCAGAUAUCAGGAGGAACACCGAUGGCGAAGGCAGGUCUCUGGGCUGUAACUGACGCUGAGAAGCGAAAGCAUGGGGAGCGAACAGGAUUAGAUACCCUGGUAGUCCAUGCCGUAAACGUUGGGCACUAGGUGUGGGGGACAUUCCACGUUUUCCGCGCCGUAGCUAACGCAUUAAGUGCCCCGCCUGGGGAGUACGGCCGCAAGGCUAAAACUCAAAGAAAUUGACGGGGGCCCGCACAAGCGGCGGAGCAUGCGGAUUAAUUCGAUGCAACGCGAAGAACCUUACCAAGGCUUGACAUAUACUGGACCGCAUCAGAGAUGGUGUUUCCCUUCGGGGCUGGUAUACAGGUGGUGCAUGGUUGUCGUCAGCUCGUGUCGUGAGAUGUUGGGUUAAGUCCCGCAACGAGCGCAACCCUCGUUCUAUGUUGCCAGCACGUUAUGGUGGGGACUCAUAGGAGACUGCCGGGGUCAACUCGGAGGAAGGUGGGGAUGACGUCAAAUCAUCAUGCCCCUUAUGUCUUGGGCUUCACGCAUGCUACAAUGGCCGGUACAGAGGGUUGCGAUACUGUGAGGUGGAGCUAGUCCCUAAAAGCCGGUCUCAGUUCGGACUGGGGUCUGCAACUCGACCCCAUGAAGUCGGAGUCGCUAGUAAUCGCAGAUCAGCAACGCUGCGGUGAAUACGUUCCCGGGCCU